GCUACUUCUGGUACAAUUGAGUACAUUCAAUUUAAAGGGCAAUUAUAAGCAUACCUCCCAACACCAGCAGUCUAAGAAUUGGGAUGCUGGAGGGAGGGGGUUAAAGGGGAUGGACCAAUGACAUUAUUCUAUUACUAACUGUGCCCAUAGGGGCAGUCAAACUAAGUGGCAGGUCUGCCUAAAGCAGUGGUGUAGUUUGCCGCCCCUAUCUUGACCCACGUCAUGUCCUGUGCAAUUGCAAACGUCCGUGGCUGCUACUCAACGCCUCUAGCCAACAAAAAAAACUUUUCAAGCCCUUUUAAGAUAUACACCCAAUCAGGG